UACGAAGGGGGCUAGCGUUGCUCGGAUUGACUGGGCGUAAAGGGCGCGUAGGCGGUUCGUACAGUCAGACGUGAAAUUCCUGGGCUCAACCUGGGGGCUGCGUUUGAUACGUGCGGACUUGAGUGCGGAAGAGGGUCGUGGAAUUCCCAGUGUAGAGGUGAAAUUCGUAGAUAUUGGGAAGAACACCGGUGGCGAAGGCGGCGAUCUGGGUCGAUACUGACGCUGAGGUGCGAAAGCGUGGGGAGCAAACAGG
rnacentral:rRNA from 1 species